ACAAACUUGGUCAUUUAGAGGAAGUAAAAGUCGUAACAAGGUUUCCGUAGGUGAACCUGCGGAAGGAUCAUUAUCAAAUCCACGAGGAGGAGGAAGGGUGGUUCGGUGCCCUGCAACGCGCUCGGUGCUGUGUCGCCCUUCCUCUCCUCAUCACAACACACAUUCAUACCCACCCUGGUGUGGGUGGUAUACAUUGAUGUUAGCUAGUUUGUUUGUUUGGGUGUACAACAAGUAAGUAGAGAGAAUGUGUCUAUAACUUUUAACAAUGGAUCUCUUGGCUCUUGCAUCGAUGAAGAACGCAGC
rnacentral:misc_RNA from 1 species